AGUAGUGUUCGAGUGAUACAUUCACUUCAGUAGUGUUUGAGUGAUACAUUGACUUUAAUAGUACUUUAUAUAUUCGAGCCUACCAGCUAUGACUAUCAACAAGACAGGCAUGGUGCGUGUUUUAUUUUUCCAUGUCAGCGAUUUGGUGUCUUACCCAGGAAGAAAACAACGUGUCAUUAUUGAACUCAGUCAAGUUUGGACGCGUGGGAUUUCCAGCGGAGUCCUGAUUUGCUUGAGUGCCCCAGUCUUGAAUUCAAAUGACUUAAUAGUCAAGUCUGCUGGUGUGUACUCCACCUUGAACAGAACGCCAAGAACACGGCCUGAUCUGUUCAGUUCAGCGUCUGUCCUCUUCAUUAGAUCUGGGAUUUAACGGACACCGUCUGCCGGAUUCUUGUCUAAUUGUGUCUAAGGAAAAUUAAUUUAAAAUUCUGACCUGUCUGGAAGACGUCUUCUCGUCAUGAGACAUAAAGAGAAAGAAGUGGAGAAUAUAAGAGAAUAAGCGUAAUAAGAGACAAGUGCUAUUUACACAGUAACCAGAGAAUCGCAAUUUGUGGUUUCUGUUUUGUGAUGCGGAGACUAGUCUAGGGUUUAGUCAUUCAACGUCAUCAAGAAUCUCUUGCACUAACUUAGUGGUAAGUGUUUACUUUUAUUUGACUUACAUACCUAGUCUAGUACUGACAACGUCAUCUAAAGUAUCUUGAAAUACUUGAAAUAGGUUUUUUUUUAAACCAUCGUCGUUAUUAUCAACCUCGUUUUGGAACUUGGAGUUGUGUCUUUGGAGUGCCAAGACCCAUGCGGCCGCAACCAAGAGUUUCCACUCUUUUUGGUCAGAAGCCAUUCACAAAAGCGCAUCACUUAAAAGUGUUGUCCAUUAUUUGUUUGUCCACACAUAUUAUUGAUAAGAGAUUGAUCUCCCUUUCAGACUUAAAACGUAGUUCUAGUCAUUGUGUGUGUGUGUGUGUGUGUGUCCAUCCUAUAUUCCUCACCCCCCUCCCUCCCAGUGGUAAUAUUUCACUUUGAUGCCUAUAUAACCACGUGACCUGUACGUUAAUUCAAGUGUUUUGAUGUGUAUACAUACAAUGUUAUUAGAAUGCUGUCGUGCAAAGCUGUUUGUGUUCUGCUGUUUGUGUUCUGCUGUUUGUGUGAGGCUGCUUCCCUUAGAUAACAAAGAAAUAGGGAUGGGGGGUGGCAGGUCGACACUAACCUACAGGCCAUACAAGGAUGUACCGGACGACAGAGGCCAGCCAGCGUUAAUUAGUUCACCCAAUUAAUUGUCCAGGCAUCCUCGUGGCUUGUUUAUCCUCGUCUCACAAUUACUCACAAUAGGAACAUUUUUUUUUAUCAUUAUUGUUUGGUAUC
rnacentral:sRNA from 1 species